AACGAACGCUGGCGGCAGGCCUAACACAUGCAAGUCGAACGGGACCUUCGGGUCUAGUGGCGGACGGGUGAGUAACGCGUGGGAACGUGCCCUUUGGUUCGGAAUAGCCUCGGGAAACUGGGAGUAAUACCGGAUACGGUCGGAAGACGAAAGAUUUAUCGCCGAGAGAGCGGCCCGCGGCAGAUUAGGUAGUUGGUGGGGUAAAGGCCUACCAAGCCAAUGAUCUGUAGCUGGUCUGAGAGGAUGAUCAGCCACACUGGGACUGAGACACGGCCCAGACUCCUACGGGAGGCAGCAGUGGGGAGUAUUGGACAAUGGGGGAAAUCCUGAUCCAGCAAUGCCGCGUGAGUGAAGAAGGCC
rnacentral:rRNA from 1 species